GUGUCAGCAGCCGCGGUAAUACGAAGGUGGCAAGCGUUGUUCGGAUUUACUGGGCGUACAGGGAGCGUAGGCGGUUUGGUAAGCCCUCCGUGAAAUCUUCGGGCUCAACCCGGAAAGUUCAGAGGGGACUGCCAGGCUAGAGGACGGGAGAGGAGCGCGGAAUUCCCGGUGUAGCGGUGAAAUGCGUAGAGAUCGGGAGGAAGGCCGGUGGCGAAGGCGGCGCUCUGGAACGUUUCUGACGCUGAGGCUCGAAAGCGUGGGGAGCAAACAGGAUUAGAUACCCCCGUAGUCC
rnacentral:rRNA from 1 species